rnacentral:rRNA from 1 species
CCGGCCAGACGUCCGUAAAGGUACUAGUUUCUGUCUGAUCAACGAAGUCAAGUAACUCUGCACCCGUUUAGUACUUGAAUCAGUGCGGGCUGUGAAUACUGGGUGUUAUGGUC